UCCAAUCGAACCCGGAGAUAGCUGGUUCUCCCCGAAAUAGCUUUAGGGCUAGCGUCGAGGUAAGUUGCGUGAAGGUAGAGCACUGAAUAUGUGAUGGCCCCAUCUCGGGGUACUGAGCAUAAUCAAACUGCGAAUGUCACGCCAACAUGCUCGGCAGUCAGACAGCGGGUGAUAAGGUCCGUUGUCAAGAGGGAAACAGCCCAGACCAUCAGCUAAGGUCCCAAAAUGUAUGCUAAGUGGAAAAGGAUGUGGAGAUGUACAGACAACUAGGAGGUUGGCUCAGAAGCAGCCAUCCUUUAAAGAGUGCGUAACAGCUCACUAGUCGAAUGACUCUGCGCCGAUAAUUUACCGGGGCUAAGCAUACUACCGAAGCUAUGGAUCCCAAGGGAUGGUAGGGGAGCGUUCCAUGAACGGAGAAGUACGACCGAAAGGACGUGUGGAGAUCAUGGAAGAGAGAAUGCCGGUGUGAGUAGCGGAACGUGGGUGAGAAUCCCACGCACCGAAAACCCAAGGUUUCCAGAGGAAGGUUCGUCCGCUCUGGGUAAGUCGGGACCUAAGGCGAGGCCGAAAGGCGUAGUCGAUGGACAACAGGUAGAGAUUCCUGUACCCGUAUAUAUGUGAAGGAAUGACGGAGAGAGGAAGCUGCAGCCAGCGGCUGGAAGAGCUGGUGCAAGCGAGAUAUCGGGAUGGCAGGCAAAUCCACCAUCCGAAACGAGAAGGCGUGAAGCGUACGGAAAGCUACGGCGAGUACGGAAGGCAGUGGAGGAACUUCCAAGAAAAGUUUCUAACGUUAAGUAUAUAUGGCCCGUACCGAAAAUGGACACACAUGGGUGAGGAGAGAAUCCUAAGGUGAGCGAGAGAACUAUAGCUAAGGAACUCUGCAAAAUGACUCCGUAACUUAGGGAGAAGGAGUGCUCAUAGAGAUAUGAGCCGCAGUGAAACGGCCCAAGCGACUGUUUACCAAAAACACAGCUCUCUGCUAAGCCGCAAGGCGAAGUAUAGGGGGUGACGCCUGCCCGGUGCUGGAAGGUUAAGGGGAGGGGUUAACGCAAGUGAAGCCCUGAACUGAAGCCCCAGUAAACGGCGGCCGUAACUAUAACGGUCCUAAGGUAGCGAAAUUCCUUGUCAGGUAAGUUCUGACCCGCACGAAAGGCGUAACGAUUUGGGCGCUGUCUCAGCUGUAGACUCGGUGAAGUCUUAGUACCUGUGAAGAUGCAGGUUACCCGCGACUAGACGGAAAGACCCCAUGGAGCUUCACUGCAGGUUGAUAUUGGGAUUUGAUGCAGCAUGUACAGGAUAGGUAGGAGGCAAAGAGAUGGAUACGCCAGUAUUCAAGGAGCCGCUGUUGGGAUACUACCCCUGUUGUAUUGGAUUUCUAACCGGACGACGUAGAACCGUUGACGGGACAGUGUCAGUCGGGCAGUUUGACUGGGGCGGUCGCCUCCCAAAGAGUAACGGAGGCGCCCAAAGAUACCCUCAGCUUGGAUGGAAACCAAGCGCAGAGUGCAAAGGCAAAAGGGUGUUUGACUGCGAGACCCACAAGUCGAGCAGGGACGAAAGUCGGGCUUAGUGAUCCGGCGGUGCUGAAUGGAAAGGCCGUCGCUCAACGGAUAAAAGCUACCCUGGGGAUAACAGGCUGAUCUCCCCCAA
rnacentral:rRNA from 1 species